rnacentral:rRNA from 1 species
UCCUACGGGGGGCUGCAGUGAGGAAUAUUGGUCAAUGGGCGAGAGCCUGAACCAGCCAAGUAGCGUGCAGGAUGACGGCCCUAUGGGUUGUAAACUGCUUUUAUAUGGGGAUAAAGUUAGUCACGUGUGACUAUUUGCAGGUACCAUAUGAAUAAGGACCGGCUAAUUCCGUGCCAGCAGCCGCGGUAAUACGGAAGGUCCAGGCGUUAUCCGGAUUUAUUGGGUUUAAAGGGAGCGUAGGCUGUUUUUUAAGCGUGUUGUGAAAUGGAGAUGCUUAACAUCUGAAUUGCAGCGCGAACUGGAAGACUUGAGUGCGCGGAAGGUAGGCGGAAUUCGUCGUGUAGCGGUGAAAUGCUUAGAUAUGACGAAGAACUCCGAUUGCGAAGGCAGCUGACCGCAGCGCCACUGACGCUGAUGCUCGAAGGUGCGGGUAUCGAACAGGAUUAGAUACCCCGGUAGUCAU